UGCGCUCACCCCGCUUCACUCCCGAAGUCGCUCUUGGAGGAAGAGUAUGUUUAUUUGCAUGAGUUUAGUAAGAAUCUGCUUUCCUUGUGAGAAGACUAAUUAAGAACACUGGUUAUACUGCCAGGGCUUUGGCUGGAAUGUCAUACCUGAGAGACAUGUGCAUGGACUCAGAUGUGAACAACUUUAAGGAACUAAGAUUGACUUUAUAGGGCCAACAAAGCCCCUUGGAAGAACUAGCCUGGUACCUUGCUUGCAGAGUUCCCAGCAGCCUUACCAGGUGAGUAAAGAAAGUCGCUUCCUGGCAGGUGCAGAGACCUCGAGAAGAGAAGAAUUCAUCCAAAUCUACAGGUACUGCAGGCAAAGCCUGAUGGCAGGUCUGGCUUGGCUGUCUAGCCUCAAGAGGCCUUUAAAAGUUCAAUCUGAAGUUCCUUGCAAAAAGUUCCAGCAAAGCAUAUUUAAAAGACCCUGUGUAAUCAAUUGCUCUUCUUGCUGCACUUGUGCAAAUAAUCAAGCUAGCUGUUAAUUAUUUUCUUAACCUAGUUACUUCUAAUAAAAAUGAAAGUGAUUUUAAAGUAUUGUUUCAAUAAUGCAGCCUCCUUCCAGAAUAAAAAAUCCAACUCCAGAUGUUGCUACAUAACCUAAUAACACAAUUUGUUUUAUCUUGCCUAGAAGCCACAAAACUGCAAAUAGUAAUAGAAACAAAACCCAAGAUAGAAGCGCCAGCCUUCUGAAGCCCUCUCAACUGACCAGUGAUAAAAACCUAGCUGCACCCUUUACUGCGCCCUCUUCUCAGCACGAAGCAGCCAGAGCGGUCAUCGCCCCUUUUCCCUAGCAGCAGCUAGAGUCUCUACCUGUAGAAGAGAGAAUGAGACAGGGACCAUAGACUUAGACAGAAUAAAAUAAGAGCCUCUGGAAGAAGUGGGGCGGGAUAUUUGCAAUCAGAGCAAUGUAACUACAUGCUGGAACUCCCCCCCUACUGGAACUAUGUUGAACAUGGAACUUUGGAAUCAUUCUUCAGUGAGAUCAGUUAAUGUUCCCCAGAUAGAGAAGAGUAGCACAUGUUUUGUUAUGCUAGUCAUUUGUAAUCGUGUAUAAGAUUCGCUUUAGCAUACUGGAGAGCCUGAGCCUGUGUGCUGUCUUUCCUCCUUCAGAUCUGACUAGGUAAUUUUGCAAGUUGAGCAAUUGACUUAGCAUACAGACCCAGCUGUAGACGACAUAGUAAAAAGCAAGAUUCUUUAGCAAAUAGACAAUAUCUCAGCCCACCUUAGAGGCUGGGCAUGCAAUCUUUUGAUGUGCACCCGAACCAGGGCGCCAGUGUCCCAGAGAGAAAUCAAAGAAAGAAAUUAUCUUUAAUAUUCAAAGACCCCUUCCCCGUUACCCAAACUGACAACCGCGAUUUAUAUAAUAAGUUAAAAGCUCUUCAGGCAGUCCAAAGAGAAGUGUAGACCCAACUAAAAGCAGUCUAUGAGCCCGGCACUUCAGAAGCAGCCCACCUGUUCCAAGUUAAAGACUUUGUGUUUGUAAAGCGACACCGAGCGCAGACCCUUGAGCCACGGUAGAAAAAACCCUACUUAGUGUUACUGACCACCCCAACAGCAGUCAAAGUUAGUAAGAUUGCCACCUGAUCCACGCAUCUCAUGUGAAACCCGUUGUCUCAGCCGAGACAGCUGACGACCAUCUCACGUGGAGAGCCCAACCUAUUGAGAAUCCUCUCCAGCUUAAAAAUCACCAGAAGACCCCUAAAGUAACCAGGUGCACGUCCAGAGACACCAACGCUGUUUAGCUGACCCACACACCGUUCUCAAAAACUAUUCCAAGAUAACCACGUCAGCUGGACAAAGACAACCUUCAAAAGCUAAGACUGUGCCGUUCAUAUUGUGCCUUUCCCCUAUUGCACUACCAAACAGAUGACCUCUAAUUUCAUGAUUGAAAUAGUUACAAGAAGAAGAGGGGAAUGUAAAAAUGAGAAUAAGUUAGCAUAAGAGUAGCCAUCUUAAGGGCCUAGAAGCAGUUUUCUGAAGUUGUGACUUAAAAGAAAAAAAACUGGAACUGGGUAAGGCCUUGGAAAACAAGUUAAUCAUGAACACCGGGAUGGGGGCAGCUGUGGCCUUCAGUCAGCUAACCUUGGUCAGUUAAUCCUACAUACCAAGCUUAUCGUGCAGAACCUCCCUAAAUUGAGGAGUGGUCUUACCUUGCUCUCGCUUAACCCCAGGAUGUAUGUCUUGCAAAGAUAAUGUGCAGCUGUGGAAAAUUACUAAGAGUUAAGUGUUUUGAAAAUGCUAUAUAAACCCUUGGUUUUGAGUGCUCGAGGUCCUUGUUGAGACCUGCUGCGUCGGGCUGACACUUGGACCCCAGCUAGCUGGUUCCUGAAUAAAUUCCUCUUGCUUAUUGCAUCAA